rnacentral:rRNA from 1 species
UGGCGGACGGGUGAGUAACACGUGGGGAACCUGCCCUGUACAGGGGGAUAACACUUAGAAAUAGGUGCUAAUACCGCAUAAGCGCACAGUAUCGCAUGAUACAGUGUGAAAAACUCCGGUGGUACAGGAUGGACCCGCGUCUGAUUAGCUGGUUGGCGGGGUAACGGCCCACCAAGGCGACGAUCAGUAGCCGGCCUGAGAGGGUGAACGGCCACAUUGGGACUGAGACACGGCCCAAACUCCUACGGGAGGCAGCAG